GUCGAACGAGAACGGAUUAUAGCUUGCUAUAAUUGUCAGCUAAGUGGCGCACGGGUGAGUAAUAUAUAGGUAAUGUGCCCUAGAGAGGGGGAUAACAGAUGGAAACGUCUGCUAACACCCCAUAUGCCUUUAAGACAGAAGUCUGCAAGGGAAAUAUUUAUAGCUCUAGGAUCAGCCUGUACAGUAUCAGCUAGUUGGUGAGGUAAUGGCUCACCAAGGCAAUGACGCUUAACUGGUUUGAGAGGAUGAUCAGUCACACUGGAACUGAGACACGGUCCAGACUCCUACGGGAGGCAGCAGUGGGGAAUAUUGCACAAUGGACGAAAGUCUGAUGCAGCAACGCCGCGUGGAGGAUGACACAUUUCGGUGCGUAAACUCCUUUUAUAUAGGAAGAUAAUGACGGUACUAUAUGAAUAAGCACCGGCUAACUCCGUGCCAGCAGCCGCGGUAAUACGGAGGGUGCAAGCGUUACUCGGAAUCACUGGGCGUAAAGAGCGUGUAGGCGGGUAUAUAAGUCAGAAGUGAAAUCCAAUAGCUUAACUAUUGAACUGCUUUUGAAACUGUAUACCUAGAAUGUGGGAGAGGUAGAUGGAAUUUCUGGUGUAGGGGUAAAAUCCGUAGAGAUCAGAAGGAAUACCGAUUGCGAAGGCGAUC
rnacentral:rRNA from 1 species